rnacentral:rRNA from 1 species
UAUCGAUGAAGAACGCAGCGAAAUGCGAUAAGUAAUGUGAAUUGCAGAAUUCAGUGAAUCAUCGAAUCUUUGAACGCACCUUGCGCUCCUUGGUAUUCCGAGGAGCAUGCCUGUUUGAGUGUCAUGAAAUUCUCAACCUUACAAAGUUUUUGAUUUUGUCUGGCUUGGAUUGUGGGAGUUACUGCUGGCUUAUCUCAAGCUGGCUCUCCUUAAAUGUAUUAGCAGAACCAWAAGUUGGCUCUUUAGUGUGAUAAUUAUCUACGCUAUGUGAGUGACUUGUCUUGGAUCAGCUUCUAAUUGUCUUUAACCAAGACUUUAUGACCAUUUUGACCUCAAAUCAGGUAGGACUACCCGCUGAACUUAAGCAUAUCAAUAAGCGGAGGAAAAGAAACUAACAAGGAUUCCCCUAGUAACUGCGAGUGAAGCGGGAAAAGCUCAAAUUUAAAAUCUGGCAGCUUUGCUGUCCGAGUUGUAAUCUAGAGAAGUGCUAUCCGCGCUGGACCGUGUACAAGUCUCCUGGAAUGGAGCGUCAUAGAGGGUGAGAAUCCCGUCUUUGACACGGACUACCAGGGCUUAUGUGAUGUGCUCUCAAAGAGUCGAGUUGUUUGGGAAUGCAGCUCUAAAUGGGUGGUAAAUUCCAUCUAAAGCUAAAUAUUGGCGAGAGACCGAUAGCGAACAAGUACCGUGAGGGAAAGAUGAAAAGAACUUUGGAAAGAGAGUUAAACAGUACGUGAAAUUGUUGAAAGGGAAACGCUUGAAGUCAGACACGUUGUUCAGGGAUCAACCUUGCUCUUUUGCUUGGUGUACUUCCUGACUUAACGGGUCAGCAUCAAUUUUGACUGAUGGAUAAAGUUCAUUGGAAUGUAGCAUCCUUUGGAUGUGUUAUAGACUUUGUUCGUAUACAUCAGUUGGGAUUGAGGAACUCAGCACGCCGCAAGGCCGGGUUUUYAACCACGUUCGUGCUUAGGAUGCUGGCAUAAUGGCUUUAAUCGACCCGUCUUGAAACACGG